CCUACGGGAGGCUGCAGUGGGGAAUAUUGGGCAAUGGGGGAAACCCUGACCCAGCAACGCCGCGUGAAGGACGAAGGCCUUCGGGUUGUAAACUUCUUUGAUCAGGGACGAAACAAAUGACGGUACCUGAAGAACAAGCCACGGCUAACUACGUGCCAGCAGCCGCGGUAAUACGUAGGUGGCGAGCGUUAUCCGGAUUUACUGGGUGUAAAGGGCGUGCAGGCGGGUCAUCAAGUCGGGUGUGAAAUAUUCGGGCUUAACCCGGACAGGUCAUCCGAAACUGGAGAUCUUGAGUGCUGGAGAGGAUAGUGGAAUUCCUGGUGUAGCGGUAAAAUGCGUAGAUAUCAGGAGGAACACCAGUGGCGAAGGCGGCUAUCUGGACAGUAACUGACGCUGAGGCGCGAAAGCGUGGGGAGCAAACAGGCUUAGAUACCCUGGUAGUC
rnacentral:rRNA from 1 species